CCUACGGGAGGCAGCAGUGGGGAAUCUUAGACAAUGGGCGCAAGCCUGAUCUAGCCAUGCCGCGUGAGUGAUGAAGGCCUUAGGGUCGUAAAGCUCUUUCGCCUGUGAAGAUAAUGACUGUAGCAGGUAAAGAAACCCCGGCUAACUCCGUGCCAGCAGCCGCGGUAAUACGGAGGGGGUUAGCGUUGUUCGGAAUUACUGGGCGUAAAGCGCGCGUAGGCGGACAUUUAAGUCAGAGGUGAAAUCCCAGGGCUCAACCCUGGAACUGCCUUUGAUACUGGGUGUCUUGAGUUCGAGAGAGGUGAGUGGAAUUCCGAGUGUAGAGGUGAAAUUCGUAGAUAUUCGGAGGAACACCAGUGGCGAAGGCGGCUCACUGGCUCGAUACUGACGCUGAGGUGCGAAUGUGUGGGGAGCAAACAGGAUUAGAUACCCUGGUAG
rnacentral:rRNA from 1 species